GCCAGCCCGCUCAGAAACUCAAAGGAAUUGACGGGGGCCCGCACAAGCGGAGGAACAUGUGGUUUAAUUCGAUGAUACGCGAGGAACCUUACCUGGGCUAGAACGCAUUCGGAAUCAGGCCGAAAGGCCUGCGCCAGCGAUGGCCGCUUGCGAGGUGCUGCAUGGUUGUCGUCAGCUCGUGCCGUGAGGUGUCGGGGUUAAGUCCCAUAACGAGCGCAACCCCUACUGCUAGUUGCCAGCGGGUCAUGCCGGGGACUCUAGCGGAACUGCCAGCGUAAGCUGCGAGGAAGGUGGGGAUGACGUCAAAUCAGCACGGCCCUUACGUCCAGGGCUACACACGUGUUACAAUGGCCGGUACAGAGGGCAGCCACCCCGCGAGGGGGCGCGAAUCCCGAAAGCCGGUCCCAGUUCGGAUCGGAGUCUGCAACCCGACUCCGUGAAGCUGGAUUCGCUAGUAAUCGCGCAUCAGCCACGGCGCGGUGAAUACGUUCCCGGGCCUU
rnacentral:rRNA from 1 species